GCAGGCGGCCGCGAAUUCACUAGUGAUUAGAGUUUGAUCAUGGCUCAGAUUGAACGCUGGCGGUAUGCUUAACACAUGCAAGUCGAACGGUAACAGCUCUUCGGAGGCUGACGAGUGGCGGACGGGUGAGUAAUGCGUAGGAAUCUGCCUAAUAGUGGGGGAUAACUUAGGGAAACUUAAGCUAAUACCGCAUACGCCCUACGGGGGAAAGCGGGGGAUCGCAAGACCUCGCGCUAUUAGAUGAGCCUACGUCAGAUUAGCUAGUUGGUGGGGUAAAAGCCUACCAAGGCGACGAUCUGUAACUGGUCUGAGAGGAUGAUCAGUCACACUGGAACUGAGACACGGUCCAGACUCCUACGGGAGGCAGCAGUGGGGAAUAUUGGACAAUGGGCGCAAGCCUGAUCCAGCAAUACCGCGUGUGUGAAGAAGGCCUUAGGGUUGUAAAGCACUUUCAAUUGGGAGGAAUACCUAUUCGCUAAUACCGGGUAGA
rnacentral:rRNA from 1 species